UUGUGGAGCGAUUUGUCUGGUAAAUUCCGAUAACAAACGAGACUAGCCUACUAAAUAGUUCGGCGAACCCACAGGGUGGCGUUCAAGCCACACGAGAUUGAGCAAUAACA
rnacentral:rRNA from 1 species